UGCAACACCUCAAAGAAGUCACAUUCUGCUUUACUCUGGGUGUAACAGAGGUUCCCCGUCAGUUUACCGACACGUGGAUUAAAGGUGGUCAUGACGUCGACUCAGUGUUCCUGUUGACAGAUUUUAAAGGAUGAACACACUCCAAAGGCUGUUUGUUGACGGGAGAGAACUGCAACAUCCUCAGAAUACAGCAGACCCAAUAUUGACGCAAAUCUGGUCCCGUUUCAUCCAUGCUGACCAAGCUGGUCCGAUUUGCCUUCCUCAUCACCACCAUUGCCAGAGGAAGUGGCUAAGGCAAGUUCAAUAUCAAUAUUUAAAAUGGAUAAAGAUUUAGAGGGAUACAGGGAAAACAUGGGAAAUGCAACUAGCUAGGGUGAGAUGGACCAGACGGCAGUAUUACACUGUAACUCGCUUAGGAAUUUACUUCAAAUAUUUCAAUCCAAAGUCACAAGUACUCACUUCCACCUGUAUCCCAACCUCACUCAGCGAGUUCAAAGCCCAGCCUAAUCCUCUUGCUACGCUCACAGCUUUAGAGAACAGCUCACGUAGCAGUGGGCCACCUGACCUCUGUCAACCAGUCUCUGGCACAUUACUGUUUCGGGACAUGUGCACCUACUCCCAAAUCCAUCUCGGUUGUAAAUAACACUGCACCAUGUGCAAAGUAGGGGGUUAAUAUCAUUCAUGGAUGGUGUCUAGGUCACAGGACAAUUUUAAUCUCUCCCUGCUCUUCAGAGUGUAACUUAUUUGAGGUGCAAUGCCAGGUUGGAAAGAAGCUGUGCAAAGGGAGCAGAGAAUGUGGAAGUGGCUGAGAAGGUGGCCGAUCUUACAUCACCUGGUCAAAUAUUAUUCACACCAGGAGGAAUGGGAGAAAGGUAGAAUGUUUCCUCAAAAAUGGUGAGAAAACAAUGAAGAGAGGACUUGGUGUCCACACUCACGCAAAGAACGAAGUUAAACGUUAAAGUCCAAGGAGAGAAAAUGGUGGCUGGCUUUUGUUGUAGGAAGGUGAGCGCAGUCCCGCACCACCACAAAUUCUGCAGUCGAAGACAUGAUUUCAGCAUCAGAGCACACAAAUGAAUGCAAAGUCCUGAGAGACCUGCUUUUUUUUUUAUAUCUCUGUCUCUCCCCUGCAGAUAAGCUGUUCCGGAGAACACACCUCAAUUGUGGUGGAUCAAGCUAAUGCAAGAUUUACUUGUCACAAGGCUGGUGCUGCGUAGAUUCGCCAGUCUGGCUCCUGGGAAGGAGGAGUUGAGGGAGACUGGUCCACAGCUGCUGGAGUUUAGGAGAGGUGCAGUGAUCUCAAUUAUGUAUCACAUUGAACCGCUGCUGCUAAGUUAACAAAUUUCACGUCACAUGCUGGUGAUGAUAAACCUGAUUCUGAAGCACUGCCACUUUGUCUCAACCCAGGUUUUUG